GACCCGCUGGCCUACUGGUUAGCGCAGCCGUUUUGAAAUUUCGUGACCCGGGUUCGAUUCCGGGUGGGGUCA